rnacentral:rRNA from 1 species
UACGAGGGAUGCAAGCGUUAUCCGGAAUUAUUGGGCGUAAAGCGUCCGCAGGUGGCAAUCCAAGUCUGCCGUUAAAGAGUGGAGCUUAACUCCAUAAAGGCGGUGGAAACUGGAUAGCUAGAGAGCAGUAGGGGUAGCAGGAAUUCCCAGUGUAGCGGUGAAAUGCGUAGAGAUUGGGAAGAACAUCGGUGGCGAAAGCGUGCUACUGGGCUGUAUCUGACACUCAGGGACGAAAGCCAGGGGAGCAAAAGGG